AUGAAUAAACUUGGUCGAGCUGUUGCUGGUCCUUCGGGGCAUGUGCACGCUUGCCACCAAUUUUAACCACCUGUGCACUUUUUGUAGACUGGAAACGAUUCUCGAGGCAACUCGGAUUGAGGACUGUUGUGCGCAAGCCAGCUGUUCUUGUGUUUCUCAGUCUAUGUUUUUCAUAUACCCCGAAUGUAUGUAUUAGAAUGUAUUGCUAGGCCUUUAGUGCCUUUAAAAUCAAAUA
rnacentral:misc_RNA from 1 species